AUGCCGCGUUUGUGGAACACACUGAUUAGCACCGCUGAGGGAGGCGGGCUGCUCCCUGCAGGAGAACGUGAUGGUGUCUCUGGCCAACGCGCGCCUUCUGCUUCCUGUGUUCCAGCUGGAGAGGAGGAAGUGGCAGCUGGAGAGGAGGAAGUGGCAGCUGAGGAGGCCGGCGAAGAGGAGGCUGCCGCUGAUGGCGAAGGAGAGACCGUAGCCGAGGUCGUGGCCGAGGUUGCAGAGGUCGUCGCUGAGGCGGCGGAGGAGGUCGCCGAGGCGGCAGAGGAAGUUACAGAGGUCGCUCGUGAAGUGGAGGCGGUCGCGGGAGAGGUGGCUAAGGCGGCCGAAGCCGCCCCCCAAGCCGCCGCAGAACCAGCCGCCGAGGAGCCCGACAGCAACGUGCCGCUGGCUGCUGCUUCUGCUCUAGAAGUACCAAAGAUCAUUGAAGUGACGGAAGAGUUAGCCGCAGCCAUUCAGGACAUCGAUGAGUCCCUUGCACAAGUUGAGGAGGCUACCAAGCCAGCAGAAGAGUCCCCAGCACCAGUAGAGCCUGCACCAGUUGUUGAAGAGGCCCCAGCACCAGUAGAGGUUGUUGAAGAGUCCCCAGUAGAGGCUGCACCAGUUGUUGAAGAGGCCCCGGCACCAGUAGAGGCUGCACCAGUUGAAGAGGCCCCGGCACCAGUAGAGGCUGCACCAGUUGUUGAGGAAGUCUUGGUACCAUCUGAACCUGAAGUUACCACAGCACUUGCUGAGGAACCAGUCACCACCGCAGUUGAUGAAGAGGCUCUGGCAACCAUCGCUGCAGAAGUAGCGACCCCUAUGGUGGUUGAAGAAGCGGCUACUGAGACCCUUGCAGAAGCUCCGAAGAGAGAGUACAUUGUUGUGGUCCUGGAAGGAACACCUAAAGCUGAUAAGUCACCCAAGGUGCUUGGAGUGGAGUCCAUGACUGGUAGAAUCAUCCCAACUCCAGACGACGACGUCUCUGCUUCUGAGGUAUCGGAUAAUCCGAUUUUUUUGGGAGUAACCUCAGAUAGGACAUAUGAUAAAAAAAAACAUGGAUUAAUCUAUCUUUCAGUAUUGCAGUGUUUUGAGAAAGGGUUUAAAGAACAGUUAUUAUCAGAAUGCUCUUAA
ensembl:lncRNA